rnacentral:rRNA from 1 species
CGAACGCUGGCGGCGCGCUUAACACAUGCAAGUCGAGCGAGAACCAGGGCUUCGGCCCUGGGGAAAGCGGCGAACGGGUGAGUAACACGUGAGUAACCUGUCCUCGGCACCGGGAUAGCCCGGGGAAACCCGGAUUAAUACCGGAUGGCCUUUCGGGUCUUCGGACUCGUCAGAAAAGGGAGCUUCGGCCUCCGGCCGAGGAGGGACUCGCGGCGGAUUAGCUUGUUGGUGAGGUAACGGCUCACCAAGGCGACGAUCCGAGCUGGUCUGAGAGGACGAUCAGCCACACUGGGACUGAGACACGGCCCAGACUCCUACGGGAGGCAGCAGUGGGGAAUCUCGCGCAAUGGGCGAAAGCCUGACGCAGCGACGCCGCGUGCGGGAAGAAGGCC